UACGUAGGGUGCGAGCGUUGUCCGGAAUUACUGGGCGUAAAGAGCUCGUAGGUGGUUUGUCGCGUUGUUCGUGAAAACUCACAGCUUAACUGUGGGCGUGCGGGCGAUACGGGCAGACUGGAGUACUGCAGGGGAGACUGGAAUUCCUGGUGUAGCGGUGGAAUGCGCAGAUAUCAGGAGGAACACCGGUGGCGAAGGCGGGUCUCUGGGCAGUAACUGACGCUGAGGAGCGAAAGCGUGGGGAGCAAACGGG
rnacentral:rRNA from 1 species